rnacentral:rRNA from 1 species
AUUGUUCACAAUGGGCGCAAGCCUGAUGACGCAACGCCGCGUGGGGGAUGAAGGUCUUCGGAUUGUAAACCCCUGUCGAAUGGGACGAAAGACCCGGGAGCUAAUCAUUCCGGGCGUGACGGUACCGUUAAAGGAAGCCACGGCUAACUCUGUGCCAGCAGCCGCGGUAAUACAGAGGUGGCAAGCGUUGUUCGGAAUUACUGGGCGUAAAGGGCGCGUAGGCGGCCAUCUAAGUCAGACGUGAAAUCCCCCGGCUUAACCUGGGAACUGCGUCUGAUACUGGACGGCUUGAGUUUGGGAGAGGGAUGCAGAAUUCCAGGUGUAGCGGUGAAAUGCGUAGAUAUCUGGAGGAAUACCGGUGGCGAAGGCGGCAUCCUGGACUAAUACUGACGCUGAGGCGCGAAAGCUAGGGGAGCAAACGGG